rnacentral:rRNA from 1 species
GCUGGCGGCAGCUUACAAUGCCAGUCCAGCGGAAACGAUGAUAGCUUGCUAUCAGGCGUCGAGCGGCGGACGGGUGAGUAAUACUUAGGAAUCUACCUAGUAGUGGGGGAUAGCUCGGGGAAACUCGAAUUAAUACCGCAUUCGACCUACGGGAGAAAGGGGGCAGUUUACUGCUCUCGCUAUUAGAUGAGCCUAAGUCGGAUUAGCUAGAUGGUGGGGUAAAGGCCUACCAUGGCGACGAUCUGUAGCUGGUCUGAGAGGAUGAUCAGCCACACCGGGACUGAGACACGGCCCGGACUCCUACGGGAGGCAGCAGUGGGGAAUAUUGGACAAUGGGGGCAACCCUGAUCCAGCCAUGCCGCGUGUGUGAAGAAGGCCUUUUGGUUGUAAAGCACUUUAAGCAGUGAAGAAGACUUCAUGGUUAAUACCCAUGGACGAUGACAUUAGCUGCAGAAUAAGCACCGGCUAACUCUGUGCCAGCAGCCGCGGUAAU